CAGGGUUUGAUCCUGGCUCAGGAUGAACGCUGGCGGCGUGCCUAAUACAUGCAAGUCGAGCGAACGGACGAGAAGCUUGCUUCUCUGAUGUUAGCGGCGGACGGGUGAGUAACACGUGGAUAACCUACCUAUAAGACUGGGAUAACUUCGGGAAACCGGAGCUAAUACCGGAUAAUAUUUUGAACCGCAUGGUUCAAAAGUGAAAGACGGUCUUGCUGUCACUUAUAGAUGGAUCCGCGCUGCAUUAGCUAGUUGGUAAGGUAACGGCUUACCAAGGCAACGAUGCAUAGCCGACCUGAGAGGGUGAUCGGCCACACUGGAACUGAGACACGGUCCAGACUCCUACGGGAGGCAGCAGUAGGGAAUCUUCCGCAAUGGGCGAAAGCCUGACGGAGCAACGCCGCGUGAGUGAUGAAGGUCUUCGGAUCGUAAAACUCUGUUAUUAGGGAAGAACAUAUGUGUAAGUAA
rnacentral:rRNA from 1 species